ACAAAUCUCAAUGAGCUGGAGGAACUGAAUUUUUUUUUCUAUUGAGAAGCAUGAUCCUGUCUGCUAAGACUCUCCUCUUGAAAUCCUGUCUGGAUUUCAGGUUAUGCCAAGCCCAGGAAGGAUGAAGGAAAAAUUGCUCCCUAGUUAAAGCCAUUUCUACUGAAAAUUCUCUGCAUGGAGAAAGGGCUUGAGAAAGUGGACUCAUCCCAAGAAGGAUUUGAAGAGGCCAAGUAUUCAAAGCAGCAGCAUGCAAACUCCAGGAGGGCCUUCAGAGGUGUAAGUGGUAGGUGGUUGGAAGUGAAAAAUAGAUGUGACUUUAGGAAAGGAUCAUGAUAGAACUGGAAGAAUUCCAUUGAAGAACUCAGACGGAGACAGUGUAAAUCACGUGAACCUGAAGCGAACCAAAAAUCAUGAGAAGAUGCUUGUUUAAUACACAAGGAACUCUAAAAACAAUGAGGAAAAAGCAACAGUCUUACUAACAUAUGUGUCUUAAUUUACUCAUAUCUGUGCAGACUUCAUUCUGCUUUUAAUAAUAAUGCAUCACAGGCCUUUUAUAGUCUGUUUCAAACUCCUGUCUAACAUGAUGAAAAUCUUAAAUAUGAUCCUUUUAAGGAUGGAAGAUGUAUCACAUAGAAUGGAGGAGGACUGCGGUACAAAAAUGAAUGGCCACCUAGCACAUCUGCAGCAGCAGUCAUCAGCAGAUGUUUAGGGGAGAAUAGAAAACUGAGGAUGUGUGACAUGAUUAAUUUCCUUGUUUAGCCUCUUGUUUUGAGUAUUCAGCUUUUCAGUGACUUCCUGAACUGGAAGUUCAAUAUGGUCGGUCAUGUCCUACUGAUACAGCUUUCUGGCAUGAGUUUGUUCAGUGUCUUUUGAACCUGUUUGAGUACUAUUCUCAUCACUGACCCAUGGCAGUUAUUAUACGAUGCCUAAUAAAACACAGAGCUUUUUUCCCCCCAAAAUGCUAAUGACUUUUUUGCACCCUGUUGUUUGUUUAACAGUUAGUGACUAAUGUUUAUCUGGUCUCUCUGCUUCCAUUUAGUAAUUUAGAACUUCUCCCAUGUCUCACCUCAAUUAUGUAUUUUCCGUGUGAAGGGCUCCUGGUCCAUGCUGCUCGUGAGGUGGAACAGCACACACUUUUGAUCAUCAUUGCUGCUCUCUGAGCAUACUCUGUUUCUUCUAUAUGCUCAGAUUGGUGGGGGUCAGACUCACAUGCUGUAGUCAAGCUUUCAGUAAUACUUUUUAAGCCCUUGGUGUACCUGGGGAUGCUAGUAGUGGUCUGAUGGUUAAGAUGGCAGAACCUGGAGGAGGUAUUACAACUGCUUAGAUAGUAUGUCUAGAAAUCUGGAGGCGGCACUCAACAGUUUCUCAGGUUGGAAACAAAAUCAAGGGAAGGGAAGAAUUUCUCAGAGACUCUAGACCUCCAUGAUCUGAAUCACAGAAUCACAGAAUGGACCCUUUGGUUCAUCUGGUCCAAUCCCUGCUCCAGCAGGACCACCCAGACCAGGCUGCCCAAGCCCACAUCCAAGUGGCUUUUGAAGAUUUUCACAGCCUCUCUGGGCCACCUGUGUCAGUGCUCAGUCAUCUACACCGUAAAUUUUGACAAAGUCCAAAUAACAUAAAAGGGAGCCAUGCAAGGAUUUGUCUCUCUGGGGGUCCUACGUGGAGCAGAAUGAAGAUGAAAGUUGUGUCUUUUUCAGAUCUGUACAUGUGGUUCUGGAAUACACACAGUGUUUGAUGUGGAUGGGGUUGAAGGUCUCAGCUCCUGUUCCUCAUUUCUCUAAAUCUGUGCCUAAGGGUAGCUGCUAAAGAAAGAGUCAGAUCACAAUCUAAAUCUCUUGUGUCUUUUCAUUAUUUUUUUUCCAUUCCAUCUAGAGAUGUGAAGUGUAUUAAUUUUGAUUGAAACCCCAAUAAGACAUAGAAAAAGAAAAAAGCAUCUUGAUAUCUUCCUGGCACUAUAUGCCAGCACUAAACAGCUUGCUACAUGGUGUCAUGAUAUGGAAUACUGAUAAAUCCAGGAGACUUCCUUUAUCUCUAAUCCCAAGUUAUGUUCCCAGGAAUGAACAGAUAAAAUUAACAUCUUUUGAACUCAGAGAUAUUGAUGGUUUCUUCAAGAAAGUAAGUGUCCAUGUGAGAUGAAGAUGGAAAUCACCUAAUGAAAACAGUAAUACACAUAAUUGAUAUUUCCAAAUUCAACCUUCUGGUGACUGUGAAAAGGAUUGUAAGAGAUAAACUAUAAAUAAAAUAUGAAGAUAAAACUUUUCAAAUUGGAUGUUUUAGAAGAAUGCUUAUGGUUUUACCUAUUUAUUUAUUUUUACUGUUUGGAAUUUAGCAAUUGGUAUAAAUAAAAGAAAGUAGAGAAUUCAAAUAAUGGGAAGCCCACUUCUGCCAUACCAUUUUAUGACUGAUCCAGUGCCUAUCCCUGUUUUUAUUCCAUUCUCUAAAUUCUAAGCCAAGCCACUGACCAGAUGCAGUGCAGAAAAAAUAUCUUGAAAUAAAUAGGUUUAUGUAUUUAUACACAUUCUGCUUUGCUCAUAAUGAAACUCAUUGAGAAAACACAUGUCAAAUAAUUCUCAGAAAUAAGAAUUAAAACAAAAAGGAAUCUAAUGUUACAACAGUGGUCAAAGAACAGUGUUAAGAUGUAAGCUGAAUUUUGUUCAAAGGUUUGCUAAGCCGUAGAAGAGCUGUGCAAGAGCAAAACACAAAGACCUGUGAUGGCAUCUGAAUGUGCUUCAAAUAAGCAAAUGUUUACGUAGUCUACCAAGGCUAGUAUCAUUUUUUUACCACAUUGAUGUAUUAGUGUGUUCCACUGUCUUUUCUUCCUCACCUCCUAAUGAUAACCAUGUCUUAAUGAGUUUAUCUGCCCUCAGUGGUUAUAAUGACAUAUAAUACUUUCUCCGUUUUGACCAGUUUUAAUUUCAUGUUUUAAUUGAGCAUACAGUCACUCUGAUGAAAGACACAGACAUAUUACAAACUGAUGAGUAGCAGACCUGGUAUUUGUGGAAUUUAUUUCAGUGUAAGUUAGUUAUCUGAGUCACAUCCACUUGGACAGACUAGUUCUCAAAUUCUUUUUGAAAACAUUUAUUUCAAUAUUCCAUUAAAAAAAAAAAAAAAAAAAAAAGAAAAAGAGAGAGAGAGAGAGAGAGAAGUAAGAGCUCUGGAAACAAAGCUUCGUUCAUUACUAUCCAGAAUUUUGUCAGCACUGUACCCAUCCUAGUCAGCUGCUAUUCACUGUUUAUCAUUUCAGUCCAAUAGAAAAUGCUGAGCAGAAGAUUUACCACAGUAUAACUGAAACAUAAAGUUCUGGCUACAUAUAAAUAAACGAAGGCAAAUUCUACUGUCAUGAUAUGUACAAUAUCCAAAUAGUAACAGUGAACAUAGAGAUACAGUGUAAUAAAAGAAUUAUGGCUUAGGGGCUGUUGCUGAUGUCCUGACUCCUGAUGCAGCAACGUAACCUUACUGAAUUCAGCAGUAAUUGCUUGAAAAAUAUUACUGGACAGAAACUGAGUCAACAUUAAUGAAAAUGAAUAAUAUCCCUCAAAUUUUAGGUUAUGCAGCUAUGUGUGAUGAAAGAUAAUCUGGACAUAGAGAUGAAGAAAUACAUUAGGACACUAAGACCAUGCAAGUAAUUCAUAAGGGGAAUUUUUUGCCUAAUGAAAUGAUGUACCAUUUACUGAAUGGCUUCUUGAGGUUUCAUUACGUCCUGUGUCCUGUUGCUUCUUGGUGAUAGCCAGAAAUGACUCUGCUGAACUCAACAGGAUGAUCUCUCUACAUGAAUGCAUCCUUAGAGUAAAGCAGAUGGAGUAUUUAUUUCCGAAUGACAGCAGUGUUACUAUGAAAAUGUUCUACAGUCUCUAAAUUCUACUGACAUACUAAAUGACAAAUGCGGGAUAUAUGUUUUGUGAUUAAAUUUUCCAGUUUCUGGUGUAGUGCUUUUAAUAUGGAAAGCAAAUUCACAUGUUUUCAGCUUUGAGAACAGAGUCCAGUAUUGCAGUUUGGCACUGCAGUAAGCUAAGUAAGGGAAAAAGUUAUUGUUUUCCUGAACAUGGAAAAUAUAAGAGGCAGUACAAAUACUGAAACAAGUAAGGCAAUAUUUUAUACACAACUAAGAAUUUGGUAAGAGUGAAGACAAAAGAUGGUUUUGGACAACAAAAGUUUAGAUCAAAUCCAAACUCCUUUAGCAUUUAGCUGUUUCAGGACCAUCCUCUUGAUACUUUUUAAACAAGCAAGCAAACAAAAAAAUCUCAAAAUAUCUCUAUACAAAGAAAACACAGUGAAAAACAGUCUUGAACCUAAAUUAAAUAAUAGCAGUGGUUAGAGGUCUACUGGCGAGAAAUUAGAAGGGUCCUAGGGCUUUAUUCCCAUAGAGUCCUAAGCUUUUCAGUUUACUUUAAUAAAAACUUAAAUCACUCUCCAAUGAUUUCUCUUAAGGAAAAGCAUGAGUUAAAAGAGAAUGGGAAAGUAUAAACAAGUUGAAUGUCACAGACUGGUAAAUAAAAAGUUAUGGUCUGAAGGAAUGGCUGUGAUUUCAAAGAGAUAUGGAUUCAUGCAGGAUGUGAGUAACUCCUUUAGACUUCCCACUAUCUAUAAGUGGGCUCCCACUGACGUUAUUGGUAUCCUCUGUCAAGAGAAUAGGACCCAUAUUUUUAGAUUUGUGUAUACCAGCUAUUUGCUGGAGUUGUUAUCACACUCGUAUUUUUAGCGGUUCACUAUAUUAAGGAGAGGAGCUUUUGCAUUGUGUUGUGUCAUUUGCAGUGUGCAAACUUCCUGGAGCUUUUCUGCUCCUUUGAUCCCACCAGCCACAGUAGCAGAAGAGCUGACUCAUCAGCCACGACUAUUUCUUCCAUAACAGGAGCUCCCCAGGUAGGCGGAAAUUUGCCAAACACAGGAAGGUAACAGCCAUAUCCACUCUGAGCCCUGGACUAACUCAAAGUCCACUGCAAACAGGAAGAAUCUCAGCAAUAUCAGAGUUGAUUGCAGGUAUUUCAUGGAUUUGUCUUCUGACAUUCUGUAGCAAUGUUAUGUCACUGUAUCCUAAGUAUACUUUGUGCACUUUUCAUCUGUAGUAAUACCAAAGUACAGUAAUGAUCAGUUUCUUGCUGGGUACAUUUAUCUUUACUUAUUGUACAGAUAGUGGUGUUAUUUUGUGAUUUGUGUUGUUAGUUAUACACGCUAGCUCACAGAAAAUCAAAAUAAAAUUAUACAAUUCCUCCUGACCCAGAAAUGCUAUUUCCCCACUCCUCCCUUCCAUACAUGCAAUCUUUCUUGACAUCUAUUUAAAAUAAAAUGUAUUGGCUUUUUCCAUAAAGCCAGUAUGUUAUGUGAAUUUGCUAGAAAGAUGACACAAUAUUACAUUAAAUUUUUGAAAACAUGGAAGUAACUAAAUUCUUAUGCACAGUAUAUUGAGAAGAGAUAUGACAGUUUAAGAAUGAGAAGAUUUAUGUGAGCUUAACUUUAUGCAUUGUAACAAAAUGGAACAGACUGACCAGGAAGUGGUGCAGUCACUGUCUCUGGAAGUGUCUGAGGAAAGGGUAGGUGUAGUACCUAGGGACGUUUUUAGUGGGCAGUAUUGGUGUUUGGUGGAUGGUUGAAGAAGAUGAUCUUAGAGGUCUUUUCCAACCUUAUUUAUUCUAUGAUUCUAUCAAAAUUUUCAAAAAACCCCAAUCCAACACACACUUUUAUUCUGUUUGAAUUUAAGGAAUUGUGUAAUGUAUUUUAAAAUACUUCUGUCUCAAUUUUCUUGACUGGUUCUAUAAAGCAAAUCUCUUAACAUAUAGUAUUUUGAAGAUGCUCAAUAGCUUAUGAAGCAGCAUGACUUAUUCCCAAUAGGUCUUACUCUCUUUCCAUUUUUCAGUGGAUGUAGAAGCUUGAGUAGCAAUCACUUCUUUCUUUUUUUCCUUCUUUUGCUUCCUUUUUCCUUUUUUUUUUUUUUAAUGUACAUUUUGCUUCAAACUUAUAUUAGUGAAAGACAGUCUGCAAAGUACCUCUUUGUACUUGGAGCAGAAAUAUCUCAAGUAAUGAGAUCAGCCAGCAUGGGUUCACGAAGGGCAGGUCCUGCUUGACCAACCUGAUCUCCUUCAAUGAUCUAGUGACCUGACUGGUGGAUGAGGGAAAGGCUGUUGAUGUGGUCUACCUAGACUUCAGCAAAGCCUUUGACACUGUCUCCCACCGUAUUCUCCUGCAGAAGCUGGCAGUCCGUGGCUUGGACAGAUACACUCUUGGCUGGGUAAGGAACUGGCUGGAGGGCCGGGCCCAGAGAGUGGUGGUGAAUGGAGUUAAAUCCAGCUGGCGACCGGUCACGAGUGGUGUUCCCCAGGGAUAGGUGCUGAGGCCUGUCCUGUUUAAUAUCUUUAUUGAUGACCUGGAUGAGGGUAUUGAGUGCACCCUCAGUAAGUUUGCAGAUGACACCAAGCUGGCUGGAAGUGUUGAUCUGCCUGAGGGUAGAAAGGCCCUACAGAGGGAUCUGGAUAGCUGGGCUGAAGCCAAUGGGAUGGGAUUCAACAAGACCAAAUGCCGGGUCCUGCACUUUGGCCGCAAUAACCCCAGGCAAUGCUACAGGCUUGGGGCAGAGUGGCUGGAAGACUGUGUAGAGGAAAUGGACCUGGGGGUGUUGAUUGAUGCUAGGCUGAACAUGAGCCAGCAGUGUGCCCAGGUGGCCAAGAAGGCCAAUGGCAUCCUGGCUUGUAUCAGAAAUAGUGUGACCAGCAGGAACAGGGAAGUAAUUAUCCCCCUGUACUCAGCACUGGUGAGGCCGCACCUCGAGUACUGUGUCCAGUUUUGGGCCCCUCACUGUAAGAAAGACAUCGAGGCCCUGGAGCGUGUCCAGAGGAGGUCAGCAAAGCUGGUGAGGGGUCUGGAGCACAGGCCUUAUGAGGAGUGGCUGAAGGAGCUGGGAUUGUUCAGUCUAGAGAAGAGGAGGCUCAGGGCAGACGUUAUUGCUCUCUAUAACUACCUGAAGGGAGGUUGUGGUGAGCUGGGGGUUAGCCUCUUCUCUUGGGUGACUGGUGAUUGGACUAGAGGGAAUGGCUUCAAGCUGCACCAGGGAAGGUUCAGGCUGGACGUUAGGAAUACUACUUCUCUGAAAGGGUGGUCAGGCACUGGAAUGGGCUGCCCAGAGAGGUGGUGGAGUCACCGAGCCUAGUGGUGUUCAAAGAGCGUUUGAAUGUUGUGUUGAGGGACAUGGUUUAGCGAAAACCAUUGGUGAAGGGCGAAUGGUUGGACUGGGUGAUCCUGUGGGUCUUUUCCAACCUUAGCGAUUCUGUGAUUCUAUGAUUCUAUGAAUGCAAUACACUGAAUGAAAAUGCAGAGAUGCAAGGGCAGUAAAUUGCCCUGAUUCCAAGUAUGUUUAAGAUAACAUUUUGUUUGGCUUCCAACAGCUCUGCUACAGAAGCUCACAAGCUAAGAAAGGCUGGACCUCACUGAUACUUGGAUGGAAUAUCUUCAUAUUUAUUUUAGGGAGUGGCACUAAUGACUUUGUAGCUGGCACUUUGAAUUGGUGUUACCUCAGAACUUAUUAUUUUGUUAGGGAUAAAAAAUUGCAAGAGAGAAAAAAGGCUGAAUUUUCAAAUACCAAUCCAGUCAUAAAUCCGGUGGCCUUCUAUGAUAGAGUGACAGCAUAGGUGGACAAAGGAAGAGCAACUGAUGUUUUCUAGCUGGACUUCUGCAAGGACUUCAUAAUGGUCCUGCACCAUUAUGCCCAGCCAGAGGCUGGUGAUGACUUCUUUUAUCUCUGGGAAUCUUUUCCUCUGCAAAGGGUGCUGGCCUUCCACAAAAUUCAAGUCUUAAAAGUUUACAGCUGCCUUUGUUUCCACAGAAUUCAAGCCAACUGAGAGUAAAGAGCUGUCCUAAUACCUCUUGCAGUCUGAGGGCGCUGCAGAGAACGUGCAUAGCCCCAGUAUAUGUGUGAGCAUUUGGCUUGCCAUUUCAUUUUGCUGAAACAUGUCAGGCUUACCAAAUGCUGUAUGAGGCCCAGGAGAUGUCUACUAAGACCUUCUGUCUUCCUGUAGACUCAUUUCUAGGGAAUAGUUUGAUGUGCACUGAUCUAAUACUUAUCAUCACAAUAUGUAUGCAUCUAUGAAUGUACAUACGUGGAUAUGUGUGUAUAAACAUACACACAUACGAACUCUUCUGUCAAGAAGAAAGUGGACAAAAUAUUAAUUACUGAAGCAAUUCUAUCACUAUAUUCAAUACUUAGUGCUUUAUUCACAAUGUUUUAUUUUCAUUUUUGCUCUCCUUUUAUAG
rnacentral:lncRNA from 1 species